GACGAACGCUGGCGGCGUGCUUAACACAUGCAAGUCGAACGGAGUGGCGAACGGGUGAGUAACACGUGGGUGAUCUGCCUUGCACUUCGGGAUAAGCUUGGGAAACUGGGUCUAAUACCGGAUAGUGCAAGAUGAGCUCGCGGCCUAUCAGCUUGUUGGUGUGGUAAUGGCCUACCAAGGCGUCGACGGGUAGCCGGCCUGAGAGGGUGUACGGCCCCAGUGGGACUGCGUUACGGCCCAGACUCCUACUGGAGGCAGCAGUGGGGACUGUUGCACAAUGGGCGGCAUCCUGAUGCAGCGCCGCCGCGUUGGGGAUGAAGGCCUUCGGGUUGUAACCUCCUUUCGACAGGGACGCGGUACCUGUAUAAGAAGCACCGGCUAACUACGUGCCAGCAGCCGCGGUAUAC
rnacentral:rRNA from 1 species